rnacentral:rRNA from 1 species
GGCCGCUCUAGACUAGUGGAUCCCCCGGGCUGCAGCCCAAUGUGGAAUUCGCCCUUCGCCCGCCGCGCGCGGCGGGCGGGGCGGGGGCACGGGGGGCCUACGGGAGGCAGCAGUGGGGAAUAUUGCACAAUGGGCGCAAGCCUGAUGCAGCGACGCCGCGUGAGGGAUGGAGGCCUUCGGGUUGUAAA